rnacentral:rRNA from 1 species
UACGGAGGGGGCGAGCGUUAUUCGGAAUUAUUGGGCGUAAAGGGCGCGUAGGCGGCGCGGUAAGUCAAAGGUGAAAUCCCUCGGCUCAACUGAGGAACUGCCUUUGAUACUGCCGUGCUCGAGGCCGGGAGGGGGUAGCGGAAUUCCCAGUGUAGCGGUGAAAUGCGUAGAUAUUCGGAAGAACACCAGUGGCGAAGGCGGCUCACUGGCCCGGUACUGACGCUGAGGUGCGAAAGCGUGGGGAGCAAACAGG